GACGAACGCUGGCGGCGUGCCUAAUACAUGCAAGUAGAACGCUGAAGGAGGAGCUUGCUCUUCUGGAUGAGUUGCGAACGGGUGAGUAACGCGUAGGUAACCUGCCUGGUAGCGGGGGAUAACUAUUGGAAACGAUAGCUAAUACCGCAUAAGAGUAGAUGUUGCAUGACAUUUGCUUAAAAGGUGCAAUUGCAUCACUACCAGAUGGACCUGCGUUGUAUUAGCUAGUUGGUGGGGUAACGGCUCACCAAGGCGACGAUACAUAGCCGACCUGAGAGGGUGAUCGGCCACACUGGACUGAGACACGGCCCAGACUCCUACGGGAGGCAGCAGUAGGGAAUCUUCGGCAAUGGACGGAAGUCUGACCGAGCAACGCCGCGUGAGUGAAGAAGGUUUUCGGAUCGUAAAGCUCUGUUGUAAGAGAAGAAACGAGUGUGAAGA
rnacentral:rRNA from 1 species